GACGAACGCUGGCGGCGUGCUUAACACAUGCAAGUCGAACGGACAUUCCCUGCUUUUGUGGGUUGCUCGAGUGGCGACCGGGUGAGUAACACGUGAGUAACCUUCCCUUGACUUUGGGAUAACUUCCGGAAACUGGGGCUAAUACCGGUUAGGAGCUCCUGCUGCAUGGUGGGGUUUGGAAAGUUUCGGCGGUUGGGGAUGGACUCGCGGCUUAUCAGCUUGUUGGUGGGGUAGUGGCUUACCACGGCUUUGACGGGUAGCCGGCCUGAGAGGGUGACCGGCCACAUGGGGACUGAGAUACGGCCCAGACACCUACGGGGGGCAGAAGUGGGAAAUAUUGAACAAUGGGCGGAAAACUGAUGCAGCAACGCCGCGUGCGGGAUAAAGGCCUUCGGGUUGUAAACCGCUUUCGCCUGGGACGAAGCGUGAGUGACGGUAAUGGGUAAAGAAGCACCGGCUAACUACGUG
rnacentral:rRNA from 1 species